rnacentral:rRNA from 1 species
UACAGAGGUGGCAAGCGUUGUUCGGAAUUACUGGGCGUAAAGGGCUCGUAGGCGGCCAACUAAGUCAGACGUGAAAUCCCUCGGCUUAACCGGGGAACUGCGUCUGAUACUGGAUGGCUUGAAUUCGGGAGAGGGAUGCGGAAUUCCAGGUGUAGCGGUGAAAUGCGUAGAUAUCUGGAGGAACACCGGUGGCGAAGGCGGCAUCCGGGACCGACAUUGACGUUGAGGAGCGAAAGCCAGGGGAGCAAACGGG